UCCUAAAAGAAGAAAAAGUCUCAAAGUCAAUCCUCAUAUCCUAAGAAUUUUUAUUUACUUGAUUUUGCUAGCACUUGGAGUGCAAGAGGGGAGAGAACAACUAUCAGUUUACGUCCUGUUGAUGCAUUAAACCAGCUUCAAGAUAUAUGACAUCAUCAUACAAAAUUAAAAAGAUGUCAAUUUGAAAGUGCUAGGUCCUAGCUGACCAA
rnacentral:lncRNA from 1 species